UUGACUCACUCCUCAAGUAGCUGCAAUGGCUGGAGCUGAGCCAGUCUGAAGCCAGGAGCCAGAAGCUUCCUCUGGGUCUCCCACACGGGGGCAGGGUCCCAAGGCUUUGGGCCAUCCUCAACUGCUUUCCCAGGCCACAGGCAGGGAGCUGGAUGGGAAGCGGAGCUGCCGGGAUCAGAACUGGCACCCUUAUGGAAUCCCAGCAUGUACAAGGAUUGACACAGAGCUGAGGACAAAGGUGAGCAGCCGAGCGACUUGGCGAUUCAGCCCGAGCACCACAGCCUUUCACGCAGACUUUCCUUGCCUUGGCACCCUCCCUCAGCUCGGUGCAUCGGGUGGCACCUGCCGGGCCCUCCCUGAUGCUCUGGUGUGUGCCCGUGGAAAAGCUCUGUGUCUCAGUGUCUAACAUUUUGACCAAUGUACUCCUAUGUGUUGCAAGUGUCUGUCCCCUAUAUAAAUUCAUCCAUCCUCAA